ACGUGCCGGGCCAGUUUGACUUUGGCGAAGUUCCCUUUGCCGAUGGUUCUGAGCAGGCGAUAAUUGCCCACGUGCGGCUGCUCGUCGGGGCACGAGGCGAUGGAAUUGCGGCAGCGGGCGCCGAGCGAACGGCUGGACCACGCCGAGCCCUUCUCCGAGCGGCUCCCGCCCAGCUGCGGGGAGGGGGAGGCGCUUGCACGCUCGUCUUGCACACUUAUUCCACGCUUACGCGCCCGCUCCCCCCUCCCCGCCUCCCCCUUAUUCUGCUUUUUCCCGUUGGCUUUGUGCCGCCACUUGGAGGGAGCGGAGCGCAUGCGAGCCCCACUUCCACGUGUAAAGCUCCUCCUCCUUGCACGCUCGCCUUGCACGCUCACCUCGCACACUUACACCCCCCACCCUACUCCAUUUUCUCCCACUGUUCGCCACCCAUAAGGAGGUGAGAACAAUUGGACUCUCUAGCUAAGAGCCACCCGUCCCCAUAGAGACUUCCUCCCCUCUUGCACGCUCAUCUUGCACCGCUCGCCUUGCACACUCACAUGCUCCCCCUACUCACUUUCUUCCAUUGGGUUUGUGCCACCACCCAUAACAAGGAGACAACAAUUGGGCCCUCUGGAUAAGAACCCCUUGUCUCCAUACAGACCUCUUCUUCUCUUGCACACUCACCUUGCACACCUGCAUACCCCCCCCUUACUCACUUUCUCCCAUUGAGUUUGUGCCACCACCCAUAACGAGGAGACAACAAUUGGACCCUCUGAAUAAGACCCCCCCAUCUCCAUAGAGACCUCUUCUCCUCUUGCACACUCACCUUGCACACUCACACCCCCAGCCCCCCUCCCAACCCUGUCCACUCUUCCCAUUUGGUUCGUGCCACCACCCACAGGUAGCAGAGCGCAAACAAGCCCCCCAUCCCCAUAAAGACCCCUUCCCUGCUUGCACACUCAUUUUGCACGCUCACCUUGCACGCACAGAUCCCCACACACAAACUCCACUUUCUCACACUGGGUUCGUGCCACCGCCCAUAGGGAGCAAAGCAGCAGCCAAUGGGACCCGCUGGAUAAGAGCCCCCUGUCCCCAUAGAGAUCUCUUCCGCCCUUGCACACUGGCGUUGUGCACUCACCUAGCAGGCUCGUCUUGCACACUUAUUCCACGCUUACGCACCCGCUCCCCCUCCCACCUCCCCCUUAUUCUGCUUUUUCCUGUUGGCUUCGUGCCGCCACUUGGAGGGAGCGGAGCGCGUGCGAGCCCCACUUCCACGUGUAAAGCUCCUCCUCCUUGCACGCUCGCCUUGCACGCUCGUCUUGCACACUUAUUUACCCCCCCUACUCCAUUUUCUCCCACUGCUCGCCACCCAUAAGGACACGAGAACAAUUGGACACUCUAGCUAAGAGCCUCCCGUCCCCAUAAAGACCGCCUCCCCCUCUUGCACGCUCGU
rnacentral:lncRNA from 1 species